rnacentral:rRNA from 1 species
GUGGGGAAUAUUGCACAAUGGGCGAAAGCCUGAUGCAGCAACGCCGCGUGAGGGACGACGGCCUUCGGGUUGUAAACCUCUUUUAGUAGGGAAGAAGCGAAAGUGACGGUACCUGCAGAAAAAGCACCGGCUAACUACGUGCCAGCAGCCGCGGUAAUACGUAGGGUGCAAGCGUUAUCCGGAAGUAUUGGGCGUAAAGAGCUCGUAGGCGGUCUGUCGCGUCUGCUGUGAAAACUGGAGGCUCAACCUCCAGCCUGCAGUGGGUACGGGCAGACUAGAGUGCGGUAGGGGAGAUUGGAAUUCCUGGUGUAGCGGUGGAAUGCGCAGAUAUCAGGAGGAACACCGAUGGCGAAGGCAGAUCUCUGGGCCGUAACUGACGCUGAGGAGCGAAAGCGUGGGGAGCGAACAGGAUUAGAUACCCGAGUAGUCC